rnacentral:rRNA from 1 species
GAUGAACGCUGGCGGCGUGCCUAACACAUGCAAGUCGAACGGAGUCGUUUUGGAAAAUCCUUCGGGAUUGGAAUUCUCGACUUAGUGGCGGACGGGUGAGUAACGCGUGAGCAAUCUGCCUUUAAGAGAGGGAUAACAGUCGGAAACGGCUGCUAAUACCGCAUAAAGCAUCAAAUUCGCAUGUUUUUGAUGCCAAAGGAGCAAUCCGCUUUUAGAUGAGCUCGCGUCUGAUUAGCUGGUUGGCGGGGUAACGGCCCACCAAGGCGACGAUCAGUAGCCGGACUGAGAGGUUGAACGGCCACAUUGGGACUGAGACACGGCCCAGACUCCUACGGGAGGCAGCAGUGGGGAAUAUUGCGCAAUGGGGGAAACCCUGACGCAGCAACGCCGCGUGAUUGAAGAAGGCCUUCGGGUUGUAAAGAUCUUUAAUCAGGGACGAAACGGUUGUCGGUACCUGAAGAAUAGC